rnacentral:rRNA from 1 species
GAUGAACGCUGGCGGCGUGCCUAAUACAUGCAAGUCGAGCGAACAGACGAGGAGCUUGCUCCUCUGACGUUAGCGGCGGACGGGUGAGUAACACGUGGAUAACCUACCUAUAAGACUGGGAUAACUUCGGGAAACCGGAGCUAAUACCGGAUAAUAUAUUGAACCGCAUGGUUCAAUAGUGAAAGACGGUUUUGCUGUCACUUAUAGAUGGAUCCGCGCCGCAUUAGCUAGUUGGUAAGGUAACGGCUUACAAGGCAACGAUGCGUAGCCGACCUGAGAGGGUGAUCGGCCACACUGGAACUGAGACACGGUCCAGACUCCUACGGGAGGCAGCAGUAGGGAAUCUUCCGCAAUGGGCGAAAGCCUGACGGAGCAACGCCGCGUGAGUGAUGAAGGUCUUCGGAUCGUAAAACUCUGUUAUUAGGGAAGAACAAAUGUGUAAGUAACUAUGCACGUCUUGACGGUACCUAAUCAGAAAGCCACGGCUAACUACGUG